CGGACGUAGGUAACCUGCCUGGUAGCGGGGGAUAACUAUUGAAACGAUAGCUAAUACCGCAUAAGAACAUUUACUGCAUGGUAGAUGUUUAAAAGGUGCAAAUGCAUCACUACCAGAUGGACCUGCGUUGUAUUAGCUAGUAGGUGAGGUAACGGCUCACCUAGGUGACGAUACAUAGCCGACCUGAGAGGGUGAUCGGCCACACUGGGACUGAGACACGGCCCAG
rnacentral:rRNA from 1 species